UUAUUUUAUUUAGAAAAAAUAGAAGAUUCUGUUGAGAAUCUAAAAAAAUUAGAACAUUCAAUGGGGCUUAUAUUUCAACAACUUAAAAAUUUAGAAAAUUCAAUUGGUAAGCAAAGUACACUUAUGUUUCUUAUUGUUUAAUUUUAACACACAUUUUUUGAUGUUUGUGUGCGGUUUUAUCACUCUAAAAAAAACUGUUUAAUUGAUUAGUAUAUGUUAGUUUAUCUAAAUAUAUUUUUUACCUCCACUAUAGCGUCAUCUGCAGUACCAUCAGGUAAUGUGUUUUGCAUUCUUAUGCAGUUUUAAGAGUGUUAUGUGUG